UUGUAUUUGGUGGAACUGGCUGUGGAGUAUUAGGUAGAUUGUGAUAUGGUGAAUUCUUUGUUAGACACGACAUUACGAGCUCCUCCUUCGCAGCAGUACAUGGAUUUUUUCUACAUAAAUCUCAUGAGUCCAUUAUGCCUUACGUAUCUGAACCUAUGAUUCUAGAGAAGAUAUAAUAUACUUCUGGAUUACACAAGGUAAAAUCCUCUUUCACUAACCCUUUCAACUUUCAAAUAUUGUCAGUUGGGGCUCACAAAAUAGAUUGAGUUGAUUUUGUUGUUCUUUUGUGCUAUCUGGACAGAGCUUAUUGUUUUAUUCCAUUCUUAGUCUACUGAUGGUAAAUGAUAUAUGGAAAAUCAACAUUUCAAGAUAAAUAAAAUGCCCCCAGUAUGUUUGUGUUCACAUGAUUACUGGCUCAUGUUUCUUUUAUGUGAUGCCAGGCUACUGUUUGAUGUUCUCUUUGUUGCUCUCACUUUGGUUAUAUACUACUAAAGCUUCAUAUAAUUUUCAUUUAGAUUUGGUGUUGUUAGCAUUAGACGGUGUACAUCAAAUAUGAAAGUAGGGCCAAGCAUCAAAGGCAAGGUGAAGGAAGGUGCCUGUGUGGUUCUUCUGCAGCUCGCAGCGAGGAUUGCUGUGUCCAACCUGCACAAGAAUGCCAAGAAGUCCUUGGAGACGUCCUCGCUGUGUCCAACCUGCACAAGAAUGCCAAGAAGUCCUUGGAGACGUAAGCCACGGCGCAUAUUUCUGCCAUGAUUUCCUUCGUCUGGAUUUAAUGGAUUUAGGUGUUGAAAAAUUAUGGGUUGUGGAUGCAGGAUUAAGGACAUGUACCUGCACUACAACGAGAGAUCUGGGCUGCUUCUUUGUGGCUUCCAAACUUGAAAUGUUUGUUUGGAAGUUAGUUUAGUUUUUUGUUGUGGAUUCACAUCUUCUCACAUGUACCAUCCGCUUAGACCUUUAGAUUUCCAAAGAAACUAAAUGAAGAUAUGGUGGUAUGGUUUCAUUUGUACAACUUAAAGCCUUUCAUGCUCUAUAUUUUCUCUGAAAUUUGCUCUUGAAGAAUCAUGUAUCUAUGUUACAUUCGGUGAGGAAAGGCGGCUUCAAAGCAGAGGAUUCGGGAGUGUUGGCCACAUUUGGUUUUCGACUUGGGUGUCUAAAUAUUCUCACAAUACUUGGCUCCCUCUUGACCUUUGCGCCAUUGGCGCAACGAGUCAUCUAGUAGAAAUUAGAACCGAGGGCCUUUUAAAAUGAGUCCUGUAUAAUAGUGUUGUUCAGUGGGAUGCAGAAUUUUUGUUCGUCUGAUCGGCUAUCCUUGAUGCUGAUUAAAGUACUGAUUUCAUCAUCAUAUGACUACAAUAAAGAAGUUGUGUGUAUAAAUAUUACUAACUGCUGAUAUUUUGCAUCAGUGAUUUCAAUUCGGUUGGCCCUCUUCAAGAUUUCUUGGGAAUGUGACUUACAAAUUUCAACCCUGUGCAAUGUGCUUCUCGGGUGUGGAUUUGUGUCUGACUAAUUAAUGGUUCUGUUAAUACUGAUAUGUCUUUGAAAAUUAUAUGCGUAUUGCAUCG
rnacentral:lncRNA from 1 species